CAGAAAAAAAGAAAAAGGGGAAAAAGAAAAAAUGAACUCUUUCCUCUGGAAUGAGGGCAAACCAACGAGGACAUGAUUUCAUAAGGUUCUGGCUACUAUCCGGAUGAAAGCUACAAUGAAGUAUAUGCAGAGGAGGUCCCACAGGCUCCUGCCCUGGACUACCGAGUCCCCCGAUGGUGUUAUACAUUAAAUAUCCAGGAUGGAGAAGCCACAUGCUACUCACCGAGGGGAGGAAAUUAUCACAGCAGCCUGGGCACACGUUGUGAGCUCUCCUGUGACCGGGGCUUUCGAUUGAUUGGAAGGAGGUCGGUGCAAUGCCUGCCAAGCCGUCGUUGGUCUGGAACUGCCUACUGCAGGCAGAUGAGAUGCCACGCACUACCAUUCAUCACUAGUGGCACUUACACCUGCACAAAUGGAGUGCUUCUUGACUCUCGCUGUGACUACAGCUGUUCCAGUGGCUACCACCUGGAAGGUGAUCGCAGCCGAAUCUGCAUGGAAGAUGGGAGAUGGAGUGGAGGCGAGCCUGUAUGUGUAGACAUAGAUCCCCCCAAGAUCCGCUGUCCCCACUCACGUGAGAAGAUGGCAGAGCCAGAGAAAUUGACUGCUCGAGUAUACUGGGACCCACCGUUGGUGAAAGAUUCUGCUGAUGGUACCAUCACCAGGGUGACACUUCGGGGCCCUGAGCCUGGCUCUCACUUUCCCGAAGGAGAGCAUGUGAUUCGUUACACUGCCUAUGACCGAGCCUACAACCGGGCCAGCUGCAAGUUCAUUGUGAAAGUACAAGUGAGACGCUGCCCAACUCUGAAACCUCCGCAGCACGGCUACCUCACCUGCACCUCAGCGGGGGACAACUAUGGUGCCACCUGUGAAUACCACUGUGAUGGCGGUUAUGAUCGCCAGGGGACACCCUCCCGGGUCUGUCAGUCCAGCCGCCAGUGGUCAGGUUCACCACCAAUCUGUGCUCCUAUGAAGAUUAACGUCAACGUCAACUCAGCUGCUGGUCUCUUGGAUCAAUUCUAUGAGAAACAGCGACUCCUCAUCAUCUCAGCUCCUGAUCCUUCCAACCGAUAUUAUAAAAUGCAGAUCUCUAUGCUACAGCAAUCCACCUGUGGACUGGAUUUGCGGCAUGUGACCAUCAUUGAACUGGUGGGACAGCCACCUCAGGAGGUGGGGCGCAUCCGGGAGCAACAGCUGUCAGCCAACAUCAUCGAGGAGCUCAGGCAAUUUCAGCGCCUCACUCGCUCCUACUUCAACAUGGUGUUGAUUGACAAGCAGGGUAUUGACCGAGACCGCUACAUGGAACCUGUCACCCCCGAGGAAAUCUUCACAUUCAUUGAUGACUACCUACUGAGCAAUCAGGAGUUGACCCAGCGUCGGGAGCAAAGGGACAUAUGCGAGUGAACUUGAGCCAGGGCAUGGUUAAAGUCAAGGGAAAAGCUCCUCUAGUUAGCUGAAACUGGGACCUAAUAAAAGGAGGAAAUGUUUUCCCACAG
rnacentral:sRNA from 1 species